rnacentral:rRNA from 1 species
AGUGAACGCUGGCGGUAGGCCUAACACAUGCAAGUCGAACGGCAGCACAGGAGAGCUUGCUCUCUGGGUGGCGAGUGGCGGACGGGUGAGGAAUACAUCGGAAUCUACUUUUUCGUGGGGGAUAACGUAGGGAAACUUACGCUAAUACCGCAUACGACCUACGGGUGAAAGCCGGGGACCUUCGCGCCUGGCGCGGAUAA